rnacentral:rRNA from 1 species
GGCUCAGAUUGAACGCUGGCGGCAUGCCUUACACAUGCAAGUCGAACGGCAGCAUGAUCUAGCUUGCUAGAUUGAUGGCGAGUGGCGAACGGGUGAGUAAUACAUCGGAACGUGCCCUGUAGUGGGGGAUAACUAGUCGAAAGAUUAGCUAAUACCGCAUACGACCUGAGGGUGAAAGUGGGGGACCGCAAGGCCUCAUGCUAUAGGAGCGGCCGAUGUCUGAUUAGCUAGUUGGUGAGGUAAAGGCUCACCAAGGCGACGAUCAGUAGCUGGUCUGAGAGGACGAUCAGCCACACUGGGACUGAGACACGGCCCAGACUCCUACGGGAGGCAGCAGUGGGGAAUUUUGGACAAUGGGGGCAACCCUGAUCCAGCAAUGCCGCGUGUGUGAAGAAGGCCUUCGGGUUGUAAAGCACUUUUGUCCGGAAAGAAAUCGCACUUACUAAUAUUAGGUGUGGAUGACGGUACCCGGAAGAAUAAGGACCGGCUAACUACGUGCCAGCAGCCGCGGUAAUACGUAGGGUCCAAGCGUUAAUCGGAAUUACUGGGCGUAAAGCGUGCGCAGGCGGUUGUGCAAGACCGAUGUGAAAUCCCCGGGCUUAACUUGGGAAUUGCAUUGGUGACUGCACGGCUAGAGUGUGUCAGAGGGGGGUAGAAUUCCACGUGUAGCAUCGAAAUGCGUAGAGAUGUGGAGGAAUACCGAUGGCNNANGCAGCCCCCUGGGAUANCACUGACNCUCAUGCACGAAAGCGUGGGGAGCAAACAGGAUUAGAUACCCUGGUAGUCCACGCCCUAAACGAUGUCAACUAGUUGUUGGGGAUUUCAUUUCCUUAGUAACGUAGCUAACGCGUGAAGUUGACCGCCUGGGGAGUACGGUCGCAAGAUUAAAACUCAAAGGAAUUGACGGGGACCCGCACAAGCGGUGGAUGAUGUGGAUUAAUUCGAUGCAACGCGAAAAACCUUACCUACCCUUGACAUGCCACUAACGAAGCAGAGAUGCAUUAGGUGCUCGAAAGAGAAAGUGGACACAGGUGCUGCACGGCUGUCGUCAGCUCGUGUCGUGAGAUGUUGGGUUAAGUCCCGCAACGAGCGCAACCCUUGUCUCUAGUUGCUACGAAAGGGCACUCUAGAGAGACUGCCGGUGACAAACCGGAGGAAGGUGGGGAUGACGUCAAGUCCUCAUGGCCCUUAUGGGUAGGGCUUCACACGUCAUACAAUGGUGCAUACAGAGGGUUGCCAAGCCGCGAGGUGGAGCUAAUCCCAGAAAAUGCAUCGUAGUCCGGAUCGUAGUCUGCAACUCGACUACGUGAAGCUGGAAUCGCUAGUAAUCGCGGAUCAGCAUGCCGCGGUGAAUACGUUCCCGGGUCUUGUACACACCGCCCGUCACACCAUGGGAGUGGGUUUUGCCAGAAGUAGUUAGCCUAACCGCAAGGGGGGCGAUUAC